rnacentral:rRNA from 1 species
ACAGAGGUCCCAAGCGUUGUUCGGAUUCACUGGGCGUAAAGGGUGCGUAGGCGGCGGGGAAAGUUUGAUGUGAAAGCUCCGGGCUUAACCCGGAAAUUGCAUUGAAAACUCCCCCGCUCGAGGAUUGGUAGGGAGACUGGAAUGCUCGGUGUAGCAGUGAAAUGCCUAGAUAUCGAGCGGAACACCAGUGGCGAAGGCGAGUCUCCGGACAAUUCCUGACGCUGAGGCACGAAAGCCAGGGUAGCAAACGGGAUUAGAUACCCCGGUAGUCCUGGCCCUAAACGGUGCGCAUUUGCUGUGAGCGGAUUCGACCCCGCUCGUGGCGCAGCUAACGCGUUAAAUGCGCCGCCUGGGGAGUACGGUCGCAAGAUUA